rnacentral:sRNA from 17 species
GUAGAUGCUCAUUCCAUCUCCUAUGUUCGCCUUAGUGCCUCAUAAACUCCGGAAUGACGCAGAGCCGUUUACGGUGCUUAUCGUCCACUGACAGAUGUCGCUUAUGCCUCAUCAGACACCAUGGACACAACGUUGAGUGAAGCACCCACUUGUUGUCAUACAGACCUGUUUUAACGCCUGCUCCGUAAUAAGAGCAGGCGUUUUUUA